rnacentral:rRNA from 1 species
AAACUCUACAAUGCAGGCAACUGCGAUAGGGGGACAUCGAGUGGCAUCCACCUUGGGUGCCUGUCCAACCGUCUAAAAAACGGUUGUUAGCAAGGGCCGGGUAAGACCGGUGCCAGCCGCCGCGGUAAUACCGGCGGCUCGAGUGGUGGCCGAUAUUAUUGAGUCUAAAGGGUCCGUAGCCGGCUUUGCAAGUCCCCUGGGAAAUCCAGCGGCUUAACCGUUGGGCUUUCAUGGGAUACUACAUUGCUUGGGACUGGGAGAGGUAGGAGGUACUCGGGGGGUAGGGGUGAAAUCCUGUAAUCCUCCGGGGACCACCGGUGGCGAAGGCGUCCUACCAGAACAGGUCCGACGGUGAGGGACGAAAGCUAGGGGCACGAACCGGA